AUUUGGAUACUUGUAUGCCUAUCUAUCACAUUUUAGAAAUGUGUAAAUGUAAUUUGCGAUUUAAGAUGACUCUGAUUGUGUCUCUCUCUCUAUGUCGCUCAGCGUUAAUGCUCCACUCUGUUGUGCAGGAAGGCAGGAACAGACCAUCUGCAACAGCAGACCCCCAACACAGCCUUAACUACCCAGAGAGAUUUGAACGCCAUGCCUCUCAUUCCGGCACUCCACAUGCUCGCUGCAGAUUGUGUCUAUGUGCUGGGGCCUCCCUGGGGGCUGAGAUAGUGCCAUGAGACUGAGAGAGAGACUGAGCAGGAGGGAGAAACAGACAAGACUGAAUGAGAGACAACAGCGGGGAGAGAGACCGAGGGAUUGACGGAGGUAGAGCGAUGGAAAGAUGAAGGGAAGGAGAGAGACGGAACGACGGAGCUGGUUAGAGAAAUGGAGGGACUGUGGCGGGGAAAGAUGAUGGAGAGUCUGAGGCAGAGAGAGAGAGAGGGAGAUUAACAGGGGAAAACCGACGGGUCGGGAGAGAUUGAAACAAGCAGAGAGAUUGGGAGAUGGAGGGUGAGAGAUGGAGCGAGAAAAUCAAAGGUACAAAGAGAAUACACACCGUUAUAUGGAGACAGUUGGCUGUUUCUGAUUGGUUCUGACAGGGGGGAAUGGUGGGGGCGGGUCAGCUAUAAUUCCAUUACAUUACAUUACUAUUAUGUUACAUCAAAGCUGCGUUUUGCUACACUAAUUCAAUAUUUGAUGGAAGGUAUGGAAAUGCCACAGCCACAACACUGGCUGGGGGUUCCUAAGGGAACUGUGGAGGCAGAGGACAUCACUUUGUUUGUUAUGGAUCGUUGUUGACAUUUGGAGCAUAUCAACCGCAGUGCAAAUCAGCUAGAGCUAAUAUGAGUUUUACUUAUUAGCUUGCAACAUGAACAUUGUGUUCGGUACCAUUAGCAUAGCCGACAGUAUGACGUUAUUACGAGUCAUUAAAUCCUCAUUAUAGUAUAAGUGACUGUAUGUACAGUGAUUGGAAAUAUAUGACUGUCAAUGGAAAAUAAUUUGAGUCCCACAAUGCCAUGCCUCCAAAUCACAUUCAACCUUGUUGAAGGUCUGGAUAGGCUUGUAUUACAAACAAGAUUUGAAUGGAACGAUGGCUGUGCUGUUUUGGGAGUAGUGUGCUCUUUUCACAAAACAUAGCCAACGAAGCCAUUACAACUCAUUUUGUGUCCGGAUCUCAUGAGAUUAAGCAUGUAUGCUGCUGGUGGGUGAAAUUGAGAUGGAGGACGGGAAACUUGCAAAAGGAGAAGAUUACAGUGAUCUGGGGUUAUUUUCAACUAAAGACGGUUUUUUGGUAGAAUGUACAUUUUGUGUAAGAAUUGGGUUAGAUGUUAGUGGUUAUGGAUACAGUCACGACUAAAGAGCUACAUGCAGGCUUAUAUACAAAUAUAAUGCAUCCUGUGUCUUGCUUCUUUGCCGGAUGCUGCAGUAAAAGAUUAUAGAGUACAGCUCUCUCUUCCUGGCUGAGUCCUUGUGACCAAAUUGCUCUCAAGACCAAAGUCUACAACAUGAUCAGGAACUUGUCAUACUAGAAUAGUUCUCAUUAUAGAUUCAUACUUUAAGUCCAUUCUGGGUGAUGUUACAAAGACUUAAUUGAGAAGUUCUGCCAUGUUCUCAUCGUAAAAACUAAAAACGAUGAAAAAGAAUGAUGGCAUCCAAAACUAACAAGGUCACAGGAUGUUUUCUUGAGAAAAGUCAAAUGAUGGUCAUGCUUGAAGAAAUAUGAUACAUAUAUUUCAAAACACAGAGUUGAUGUUGUCGCUAUAAAAGUAAACUUUUGUACACUGUAUUUGUCAUUCGAGUCCUGUAUGUUUAAAUGGCGUGUUGGAACUUUCCCUUAACCAUGUUUCAAUCCUCAACACAUACUCCCUCAAGACAUACAAAAUUAAUUUCGCUUUACAUACCCAAACUUCAACUGAUUAACUCUCUUUUCCUUCCCCUCUCUCCCUUAUUCUCACUGUCUCACCGCGCGCGCGCGCACACACACACACACACACACACACACACACACACACAGGACAUAUGUCUGCAGGCUUGCACACAUCCCUCCCUCUCUCUUUCUCCCUUCUGUGGUGUUCCCUGACAUGGAGCCAAGCAAAAUGAGACUCAACAUGACAUAAAGUCCCUGUAAUAGAGUAUGUGGACUUCCAAACCCUUACUGAGGGAAUUGCUG
ensembl:lncRNA